CAUCUUGCCGUCGGGGCGCUGAGGGCCGUCGGCACCCACCGCGUCGUGCCGCCAGCCGAAACUCCGCCCUGCCAACAAGCCGAAGCUCCGCCAAUCUUAUUCAGACGAUUUUCUCUUCGUCGCUCCAUAUCCCCCUUUUCUGUUUAUUUUCCGAUUUCACACUUCAUUCCUAGCAAAUCCAGUUUUGUCUUUUUUACAAUUUCUUCGCUAGUUUUUUUUUUGUUUUUCGAAAGCCGGGUGAAUGAACGGACGAGUUCUUUUCAUGUUAGAGAAUUAUGGCCCCAAAGGUUAAAUAAAGAGGCUUCUCGUGAUCUUAUGUUAUGAUCCACAUAUCUCAUCAUGCAAAUUGAUUUGCAAUUUUGUUCUCUAGUCAGUUUGAUUCCCAUUACAUGCCCUACACUUAACUUUAAUCCAUAAUUUCCCUUUUGAAUCAACAUUGUCCUUCCUGUAUAGUUUGUCCAUUGCAUUUAGCAACCAAAAUCCACAAACUUCAUUUUACCCCCAAACAUGUUUCACUGUUAUUAGCAACUCGUACAAAUUGUUGAUAUAUUGGAUUAGCUGCGGGGCAUUUGAAUCUGAUGAGAAUUUCGAAGCUUGCUUUUUUAGUGUGGAUGUUGAUUCAUUGGCUUUUGAGAUUAAAUAGAGCAAAAGAAAAAGGAAAUUUUUUGUGAUGCUUUUCUGAGACUAGUAACAACCUUUGCUUAGUAACUUUCGUUCUACUUCUAAAAGCCUGUUCAAUAUCUUUUUACUAGAUUUUUUCAAGAUGUGGCUAGUUAAGUACAAAAGGCUAGUAGGAAUCUAGUUUCCAUAAUUUAUUGGUGAAGGUCGUAGCUACAGUAGUUUGAAGAAAGUUACAUUGCAACAGAUGAUCAAUUUAUUGGUUUUUGUGUUUCCGGUUGAUACUCUCCAAUUCGCCCAAUUGCUUCCUAUUGGCUGCCAUGGCUACAAUUGACAUUUUUGGAAUAUAGCAUCAUGGUGUUAAGUUUGUGAAAUUAGGAAAAUCUGCUAGUUGCUAUGUUGGGGGUGAGGUUGUUGUUUUAUCAGGAUUUGAUCCUGACAAGUUUGGUUACUUAGACUUAGAGGAUGAAGUCUUCAAGUUAGGGUAUAAAAGUUGGGCUUGUUUGGAAUUUAAGGUACCUAAAACCCAUGAUUUGCACCUUGUUCUUGAUGAUAAAGUUAUUAUGUUUUUGCUGCAAUAUUUGUCACCUCAAUGUAAGUUCUUAGAGAUCUAUGUCGAUGAGGGUAACAAUGAGGUGUAUUUUGAGAAAGAUGACACAGAUGCACCUGUGAAGGGGAAUGAGAAAGCUCUUGAGGAGGGUACCAAGUCUGCUAAGGGGAAAGAGAAAGCUCUUGAUGAGGGUAAAGACUCUAAAAUGGGGAAGAAGAAACUUGUAGUGAUAGUGAUUCUGAAGAUGUCGAUUAUGAGAUAGCUUGGGUGAUAGACCGACAAUGAUCGAGCAUCAACCACAAAAGAGUUACUAACUUAAGAAAGCCAAGCGAAGUAGUUGUGGAAGUAAUAUUAUUGGAGAAAAUAAUGUAAUUAAGGCUUGGAUGAAAUUUUUGAUUGAGCUACUGGACAUACCCUUUUUGAUUGAGCUACUCUAUAAACUCUAAUAUCAACGCCUUGAUGAAA